GCCUCCUCUGCCCACACCCUUUCCUAGAAUUCCUUUAUAUAUCUCUGCACUACUUACCACACUAUCACACAAUACACACAAUGGAAGCCAAUGGUAUGAUAAUCGGAACCCAAGAACAUACAAAUUCCCAGAAAUGUAAUUUCAAUGGAAGCCAAUGGUAUGAUAAUCGGAACCCAAGAACAUACAAAUUCCCAGAAAUGUAAUUUAGGUGCAAAUUCCGUACCUUCCUACCUUCCGAGGAAUUAAUAACACGAGACACAAGUAUUUACUGUAUACCACACAUGAUGACCACUAUACUAUAACACAUAUGCUGCAGGCUAUAAAAGCAAUGCAUCAACAGUUAGAUCCAUGAGCUACAGGAGGUUCGAGUAGCAGUUUUGGAAUCAUGAAAUUGACGGUCUUCUUCAUCUGGGUAUUGUCGUUAUGGACAGUAAUCCUUUCAGCUGCACCGUUCAACUCAGACGACCCUGGAGAUGUGCCCCCACUUCCUGGAGAAGGACCACCUAAUGGCAGGGGCCGUACAGUCUCUAGAAGAGAAUUACCACUCCCUGGAGAAAAACCCCCUCUUGGUGAAGGGCCACCUAUGGGUGAACGACCACCUAUGGGUGAACGACCACCUAUGGGUGAACGACCACCUAUGGGUGAACGACCACCUAUGGGUGAACGACUCCCCCCAGGCCGAAAGUGAGAGGCUAUUAUUUUGUCAAGAGACAUGAAAGAAUGAACAGAAUUGCCAUACUGAUAGAUAGACAACAGUUAGACACAAAGCUUUGGAUGAAAUUGUUUGCUUGUGAGUUUAAUUAAUUAUAUAUAAAACAAGUGCACGCAUGACAUGCGUAUACUGUC